GAGUUCUCGCUUCAGCAACACAUAUACUAAAAUAGGAAUAAUAAAGAGAAGAUUAGCAUUGACCCUGAACAAGGAUGACAUGCAAAUUCAUAAAGCAUUUCAUAUUAUU